GACGAACGCUGGCGGCGUGCUUAACACAUGCAAGUCGAACGGAAAGGCCCUGCUUUUGUGGGGUGCUCGAGUGGCGAACGGGUGAGUAACACGUGAGUAACCUGCCCUUGACUUUGGGAUAACUUCAGGAAACUGGGGCUAAUACCGGAUAGGAGCUCCUGCUGCAUGGUGGGGGUUGGAAAGUUUCGGCGGUUGGGGAUGGACUCGCGGCUUAUCAGCUUGUUGGUGGGGUAGGGGCUUACCAAGGCUUUGACGGGUAGCCGGCCUGAGAGGGUGACCGGCCACAAUGGGACUGAGAUACGGCCCAGACUCCUACGGGAGGCAGCAGUGGGGAAUAUUGCACAAUGGGCGGAAGCCUGAGGCAGCAACGCCGCGUGCGGGAUGACGGCCUUCGGGUUGUAAACCGCUUUCGCCUGUGACGAAGCGUGAGUGACGGUAAUGGGUAAAGAAGCACCGGCUAACUACGUG
rnacentral:rRNA from 1 species